GAGAAGGAAAAUUUUAGUUCUCCUGAGGGAGAAGGAAAAUUUUAGUUCUCCUGAGGGAGAAGGAAAAUUUUAGUUCUCCUGAGGGAGAAGGAAAAUUUUAGUUCUCCUGAGGGAGACGCCAUUUUGUGGACUUCCUUGGGAGAAAGGAAAUCCCUGUUUUCCAGGAGAUUCCUGAAGGCAGAGGCCAAGUCCUGCUUUCCCUGAGGGAAAACCUCAUUCCCGCUCAUCCCAACCCCCGGAACAUCCCUCCCUUUUCCCCGCUAAUCCCGAUUUUCCCCCUGUUUUCCCUCAGCGCCGGCUCCAUGGCGGAGCGGGAGAGGCCGCGGCGGCUCCUGCGGCUGGUGCAGGAGGGGAGGCUGGAUCUCCUGAGGGACGAGCUGCAUCCAGAGGACAUUCCAGAGGCAAGGAGCCGGCGCUGGGGUCGCCUGGGGGACACCCUGCUGCACCACGCGGCGCGGCUGGGACACAGGGACGUGCUGGAAUUCCUGGUGCGGGAGCUCGGGAUGGACGUGGAGGCAGCCAACGGGGACUACAAGAGGCCCAUCCAUGAGGCGGCUUCCAUGGGGCACGGGGAAUGCGUGUCCUUCCUCCUGGAGCGCGGGGCCAGCGUGGACUGCCUGAAGAAGGGCGACUGGACUCCCCUCAUGAUGGCUUGCACCAGGAAAAACCUGGAGGUGAUCAGAUCCCUGGUGGAGCACGGAGCCAACCCGCUGCUGAGGAAUAAGGAUGGCUGGAAUUGCUUCCACAUUGCCAGCAGGGAGGGGCAUCCCGAGGUGCUCCGGUACCUCCUGGAUGUGUCCCCAGGGAUCUGGGACACGGAGAGCACCAUCAGGAGGACACCCCUGCACACGGCAGCCAUGCACGGCUGUUCCCGGGUCGUGGAGCUGCUCCUGGAGCGGUGCCACUACCUACCUGACAGCAGGGACAAGUGUGGAGUCACUCCCUUCAUGGAUGCAAUCCAGAACGGGCACCUCGACAUCGCCCGGAUGCUCCUGGAAAAACACCAGGCCUGUCCCACAGCCAUGGAUGCCCUGGGAGCUCAGGCCCUGCACAGGGCAGCCGUGACAGCCCAGGAUGGAUCCAUCCAGUUCCUGGUGUCCGAGCUGGGGGUGGAUGUCAAUGGAAGAGCCACUUCCCUGCGGAUCCCGGCCCUGCACUACACGGCCAAGGAAGGACACGGACACACCAUCCUGACGCUGCUGUCCCUCGGCGCCGAUCUCCAGGCUCAGGACGGGAAGAGCCGUUCCGGUAAGGAAGGAGCUGCUCCUUCCCCCUCUGCGUGACCCCCAGAGCUUCCAUGAGUGCAUCCCAACCUCCAGGUCACCCUGGAGCGCGCAGGGAGAUCCCAAAUCCAUGGAUACCAAAGGCUCUGGGAGCAGCAUGACAUGAAAACAGGGUUUGGUUUUGGUUUUUUCCCGGUUUUCAUUCACUAAUUUUCUCCUUGCUGAAAUUCCCGGUGCUUCUGGCUCGUGGGCUUUUCCCUUGGGGAAGAAGAGAGAUAUUCCCUGGGAGAAGAACAGAGAUGCAAACCAGGGGUUUCUCUUUAUCCACCUCCUUAAUUUUCUUCCACUGGACUUUUCCGGAGCUUCGAUUCUCCGCCUCGCUGGAAUUUGGCUGGAACGAGCCCGCCUGGAGCGGGUUGGGUGGAUGAAUCCAGGGAUUUCCACGAGCUCUCCAGCCUCGAUUUCCCAGCAAACAGCCCAGAAAUGGGCUCAUGAGCAAAUAAUAACACGGGGCUGGGACGUAAAUAGAGUUGCCAUAGCGAUGCCGGAGUCGGCAUUCCCGGCGGGAGAGGCUCCGGCAGCUCCUGCAGCAGCAUCUCUGUCUCGGGAACAAAACCCACAGAAAUGGUUCCAGCCAAAAUUGCCAAAAUUGGCAGCUUUUAACCAGUCCUCAGGUUUGGUUAAAAACACCUGGGGCCAUCUCUCCAUCUGUCCCCUCCGGGAGGGAAUCCCGGCUCCGCGGAGCUCAUCCAGCCCUGGGAUGUUUUCCAUGGCUCCUCCUGCCUGUUGGAUGCUGUGUCAGUGUCCCUGUGUCCUUGGGAAGCUCCUCAUCCCGAUUUGGCACCUGCAUGGAUUAUCCAUGGGGAUCAGGAUGCACAUUAGAUCAGAUAGAAGGAAGAAAUCAUUUGCAAUGAGGGGGGGUGAAACACAAGUUUCACGGGGAGGAAUAUCCAAAGAAUCCCUGGGAAUAUCCAAGGGCAGGUUCAGGGAGUAAAUCCCGGCUCUGCUGAGCUCAUCCAGCCCUGGGAUGUUUUCCAUGGCUCCUCCUGCCUGUUGGAUGCUGUGUCAGUGUCCCUGUGUCCUUGGGAAGCUCCUCAUCCUGAUUUGGCACUGCAUGGAUUAACCAUGGGGAUCAGGAUGCACAUUGGAUUACAGGAAGACAGCUUUUCCAAUGAGG